ensembl:lncRNA
AAGUAUUCUUAAAAUGCAUUCCAAAUUCUGAAUAAUUUGUAAUAUAUAAUUAUUCACGGUAUUUAGAAGUGCUCACGAUAACAAUAUCGUGCAUAUUCAUAAUCUCUUUGGUACAGAUGAAACCAGUUAAGAGAGCCGAACCUCAGGAAGAGACUCAGCAACAGGAAGAGACACAGCAACAGAGAGCAUUUCUGAAGAAGAUUUCUCAACUUCACGAGAAGUUAGCUCAUCCAAAGGAGAAAGUUCUAUAUUUGGUUUACAGAUUUCUGCAGACUUCAGCAAACUCCUCUGAUUUCUCCUUAGCACUCUGUUUGAAUAAGAUAUGACCUUGGAUUUACUUCUUUUAGAACAACAGCUAUCUUUCUCCAUCCUGUUAGCUCCUCAACUCUAACCACAUCUUGCUCAGAAAGAGCUACAGCUGCCGAGAUCUCUUAUCAUAAACAGGUUCAGGAGUCAGAAUCUCUUCUAACCUCUUCCAUUCUUGAUCAUGGCUCUCGCAGAGGGACAGGAACACGCCGAGGAGCGUGUGUAACAGGUGUAGCGUCAUCCUUCAGUUGUGUUUUGAGUGUCUUCUUCUCAUCAAGGCUGCAUUUAUUUGAUCAAAAAUACAGGG